CAGUAGCCGCGGUAAAACGUAGGGUGCGAGCGUUAAUCGGAAUUACUGGGCGUAAAGCGUGCGCAGGCGGCUUUGCAAGACAGAUGUGAAAUCCCCGGGCUCAACCUGGGAACUGCAUUUGUGACUGCAAGGCUAGAGUGCGGCAGAGGGAGAUGGAAUUCCGCGUGUAGCAGUGAAAUGCGUAGAUAUGCGGAGGAACACCGAUGGCGAAGGCAAUCUCCUGGGCCUGCACUGACGCUCAUGCACGAAAGCGUGGGGAGCAAACAGGAUUAGAGACCCCAGUAGUCCCUGUCUCUUAACA
rnacentral:rRNA from 1 species